AGAGUUGAUCCUGGCUCAGAGUGAACGCUGGCGGCAGGCCUAAUACAUGCAAGUCGAACGGCAGCACAGCAGAGCUUGCUCUGUGGGUGGCGAGUGGCGGACGGGUGAGGAAUACAUGGGAAUCUGCCCAGUCGUGGGGGAUAACGUAGGGAAACUUACGCUAAUACCGCAUGCGCCCUUCGGGGAAAGCCGGGGACCUUCGGGCCUGGCGCGAUUGGAUGAGCCCAUGUCGGAUUAGCUAGUUGGCGGGGUAAUGGCCCACCAAGGCGACGAUCCGUAGCUGGUCUGAGAGGAUGAUCAGCCACACUGGAACUGAGACACGGUCCAGACUCCUACGGGAGGCAGCAGUAGGGAAUAUUGGACAAUGGGCGCAAGCCUGAUCCAGCCAUGCCGCGUGAGUGAAGAAGGCCCUCGGGUUGUAAAGCUCUUUUGUCCGGAAAGAAAAGCGCCGGGUUAAUACCCUAGUGUCCUGACGGUACCGGAAGAAUAAGCACCGGCUAACUUCGUG
rnacentral:rRNA from 1 species